UACGGGAGGCAGCAGUGGGGAAUAUUGCACAAUGGGCGAAAGCCUGAUGCAGCUAUGCCGCGUGUAUGAAGAAGGCCUUAGGGUUGUAAAGUACUUUCAUCGGGGAGGAAAAAACAAAACUAAUAAUUUUAUUUCUUGACGUUACCCGAAAAAGAAGCACCGGCUAACUCCGUGCCAGCAGCCGCGGUAAUACGGAGGGUGCUAGCGUUAAUCAGAAUUACUGGGCGUAAAGAGCACGUAGGUGGUUUUUUUAAGUCAGAUGUGAAAUCCCUGGGCUUAACCUAGGAACUGCAUUUUGAAACUGAAAUACUAGAGUAUCGUAGAGGGAGGUAGAAUUCUAGGUGUAGCGGUGAAAUGGCGUAGAUAUCUGGAGGAAUACCUGUGGCGAAAGCGGCCUCCUAAACGAAUACUGACACUGAGGUGCGAAAGCGUGGGGAGCAAACAGGGAUUAGGAUACC
rnacentral:rRNA from 1 species